UGGCGGACGGGUGAGUAACGCGUGGAAAACCUGCCGUAUACUGGGGGAUAACACUUAGAAAUAGGUGCUAAUACCGCAUAAGCGCACAGCUUCGCAUGAAGCGGUGUGAAAAACUCUGGUGGUAUACGAUGGUUCCGCGUCUGAUUAGCUAGUUGGUGGGGUAAUGGCCUACCAAGGCAACGAUCAGUAGCCAGCCUGAGAGGGUGAACGGCCACAUUGGGACUGAGACACGGCCCAAACUCCUACGGAAGGCAGCAG
rnacentral:rRNA from 1 species